rnacentral:lncRNA from 1 species
CAACAGCUAUUUCCUUUAAUUGUUGCACUGAAAACGAUCCCAAGCUACCAAAACAAAGAAACACUACGCUUUUACUAGGUUGAGAGUCUAACCAUUUGAUGCACUGAGGAACACCAUCACCGUCCACGGUGGUGUUAACAAUGAGAGGUCCGAUGCAGUAAAGGGGAGGCGUGGGGUAGUCCGGCAAGCAGAGUCCAUCAUUAAUCUCUUUGAAGCUCUUUGGCUCGAGAUAUUCAAAAGUGUCCACAAUAAUCCCAGUUGAACGGGGCAAGUUGGUGGCGAUGUCUAAGAAAACGUCAUACAGCUUGUUGCCUUUGAACGUUGUCGGCGGCAUAUCUGCAGAUGGAAUCGGUGGAGCACCAGGGAUAUCAAGGAGAACGUUGAGAUGUUGGAAGCUUUGAGUGAAUUUGUUACAGAGGGUGGGCAAAUAAAGUAAGCAAGCAGCGGCACCGAGGGCGGUAGGGAGGAAAGAGUAAGCUGGAAGGUUGAGAUCGGAGGCCACUUCGAAUGCUGCGCUGGUGCAGAAGAAGUCGACGAUAAUGGCGUUGAGUGUGUAGUUAUUGGAGAUGGUGAGAAGGGUGCGACGGACAUCGGGGUUUCUGAGGCGGAUGACGUCGAAGAAAAGCGGAUCUAAGUCGGUUGAGGUUGGAAGGAGGUCGACGGUGGGGAGGUAGUGGAAGGUGAUGGAAGGAGGAACGGGGGAGGGGACGGUGGAGGAAGGUUGUGAAGGAAGGGUGGCGAUGAGGAUGUGGAUAGAAAGGGAAGGGUGUUGAGUGAGGAGGAGCUUGGCGAACUCUACCAUGGGUGCCAGGUGAGUAAGCAUAGAUGCUGGGUAAAUAACUAUGGCUUCCUCCAUUGGUGAU